UACGUAGGUGGCAAGCGUUGUCCGGAAUUAUUGGGCGUAAAGAGCGCGCAGGUGGUUGAUUAAGUCUGAUGUGAAAGCCCACGGCUUAACCGUGGAGGGUCAUUGGAAACUGGUCGACUUGAGUGCAGAAGAGGGAAGUGGAAUUCCAUGUGUAGCGGUGAAAUGCGUAGAGAUAUGGAGGAACACCAGUGGCGAAGGCGGCUUCCUGGUCUGUAACUGACACUGAGGCGCGAAAGCGUGGGGAGCAAACAGGAUUAGAUACCCGGGUA
rnacentral:rRNA from 1 species